GACGAACGCUGGCGGCGUGCUUAACACAUGCAAGUCGAACGGAAAGGCCCUGCUUUUGUGGGGUGCUCGAGUGGCGAACGGGUGAGUAACACGUGAGUAACCUGCCCUUGACUUUGGGAUAACUUCAGGAAACUGGGGCUAAUACCGGAUAGGAGCUCCUGCUGCAUGGUGGGGGUUGGAAAGUUUCGGCGGUUGGGGAUGGACUCGCGGCUUAUCAGCUUGUUGGUGGGGUAGUGGCUUACCAAGGCUUUGACGGGUAGCCGGCCUGAGAGGGUGACCGGCCACAUUGGGACUGAGAUACGGCCCAGACUCCUACGGGAGGCAGCAGUGGGGAAUAUUGCACAAUGGGCGGAAGCCUGAUGCAGCAACGCCGCGUGCGGGAUGACGGCCUUCGGGUUGUAAACCGCUUUCGCCUGUGACGAAGCGUGAGUGACGGUAAUGGGUAAAGAAGCACCGGCUAACUACGUGCCAGCAGCCGCGGUGAUACGUAGGGUUCGAGCGUUGUCCGGAUUUAUUGGGCGUAAAGGGCUCGUAGGUGGUUGAUCGCGUCGGAAGUGUAGUCUUGGGGCUUAACCCUGAGCGUGCUUUCGAUACGGGUUGACUUGAGGAAGGUAGGGGAGAAUGGAAUUCCUGGUGGAGCGGUGGAAUGCGCAGAUAUCAGGAGGAACACCAGUGGCGAAGGCGGUUCUCUGGGCCUUUCCUGACGCUGAGGAGCGAAAGCGUGGGGAGCGAACAGGCUUAGAUACCCUGGUAGUCCACGCUGUAAACGGUGGGUACUAGGUGUGGGGUCCAUUCCACGGGUUCCGUGCCGUAGCUAACGCUUUGAGUACCCCGCCUGGGGAGUACGGCCGCAAGGCUAAAACUCAAAGGAAUUGACGGGGCCCCGCACAAGCGGCGGAGCAUGCGGAUUAAUUCGAUGCAACGCGUAGAACCUUACCUGGGUUUGACAUGGAUCGGGAGCGCUCAGAGAUGGGUGUGCCUCUUUUGGGGUCGGUUCACAGGUGGUGCAUGGCUGUCGUCAGCUCGUGUCGUGAGAUGUUGGGUUAAGUCCCGCAACGAGCGCAACCCUUGUUCACUGUUGCCAGCACGUUAUGGUGGGGACUCAGUGGAGACCGCCGGGGUCAACUCGGAGGAAGGUGGGGAUGACGUCAAGUCAUCAUGCCCCUUAUGUCCAGGGCUUCACGCAUGCUACAAUGGCUGGUACAGAGAGUGGCGAGCCUGUGAGGGUGAGCGAAUCUCGGAAAGCCGGUCUCAGUUCGGAUUGGGGUCUGCAACUCGACCUCAUGAAGUCGGAGUCGCUAGUAAUCGCAGAUCAGCAACGCUGCGGUGAAUACGUUCCCGGGGCU
rnacentral:rRNA from 1 species